rnacentral:tRNA from 1 species
GCUGUGAUCGUAUAGUGGUUAGUACAAUUGCGUUGUGGCCGCAAUAACCCAUGUUCGAAUCCUGGUCACGGCA